GCACCAGUGGUGUAUGGUACACACGCUGUUUCUGUUAAUGAGAAGCUUUUUCUCAAUCAGCGAGUAGGGGUUCGAUUCCCCGCUGGUACA